GCCCCGAUAGCUCAGCUGAAUAGAGCUCGAAACUUCUAAUUUCGAGGUCGUAGGUUUGAAUCCUACUCGGGGUGCCA
rnacentral:tRNA from 1 species